rnacentral:rRNA from 1 species
GAUGAACGCUGACAGAAUGCUUAACACAUGCAAGUCAACUUGAAUUUGGGUUUUUAACUUAGGUUUGGGUGGCGGACGGGUGAGUAACGCGUAAAGAACUUGCCUCACAGCUAGGGACAACAUUUGGAAACGAAUGCUAAUACCUAAUAUUAUGAUAAUAGGGCAUCCUAUAAUUAUGAAAGCUAUAAGCGCUGUGAGAGAGCUUUGCGUCCCAUUAGCUAGUUGGAGAGGUAACGGCUCACCAAGGCGAUGAUGGGUAGCCGGCCUGAGAGGGUGAUCGGCCACAAGGGGCCUGAGACACGGCCAUUACUCCUACGGGAGGCAGCAGUGGGGAAUAUUGGACAAUGGACCGAGAGUCUGAUCCAGCAAUUCUGUGUGCACGAUGAAGUUUUUCGGAAUGUAAAGUGCUUUCAGUUGGGAAGAAACAAAUGACGGUACCAACAGAAGAAGUGACGGCUAACUACGUG